rnacentral:tRNA from 4 species
GGGGAGAUGCCGGAGUGGUCGAACGGGACGGAUUCGAAAUCCGUUGUAUCCGCAAGGGUACCUAGGGUUCGAAUCCCUAUCUCCCCG